UACGAAGGGUGCAAGCGUUGCUCGGAAUUAUUGGGCGUAAAGGGUAGGUAGGUGGUAAUAAAAGUCUGGGGUGAAAUCCCUGAGCUCAACUCAGGACGUGCCUUGGAAACUUUAUUACUAGAGUGCUGGAGAGGUUCGCAGAAUUCCCGGUGUAGCGGUGAAAUGCGUAGAGAUCGGGAGGAAUACCAGAGGCGAAGGCGGCGAACUGGACAGCAACUGACACUCAACUACGAAAGCGUGGGUAGCAAACAGGAUUAGAUACCCUGGUAGUCCACGCUGUAAACGAUCGGUACUAGAGUUGGUGGGAGUUGACCCCCGCCGACUCGGAGCUAACGCGAUAAGUACCGCGCCUGGGAAGUACGGUCGCAAGACUAAA
rnacentral:rRNA from 1 species